rnacentral:piRNA from 1 species
GAGAAGGAGAGAGAAUUCACAGAACUAGC